GCUUGCUUUUGAUGGGCGUCGACCGGCGCACGGGUGAGUAACGCGUAUCCAACCUGCCCACCACUUGGGGAUAACCUUGCGAAAGUAAGACUAAUACCCAAUGACGUCUCUAGAGGACAUCUGAAAGAGAUUAAAGAUUUAUCGGUGAUGGAUGGGGAUGCGUCUGAUUAGCUUGUUGGCGGGGUAACGGCCCACCAAGGCUACGAUCAGUAGGGGUUCUGAGAGGAAGGUCCCCCACAUUGGAACUGAGACACGGUCCAAACUCCUACGGGAGGCAGCAGUGAGGAAAUAUUGGUCAAUGGACGAGAGUCUGAACCAGCCAAGUAGCGUGCAGGAUGACGGCCCUAUGGGUUGUAAACUGCUUUUAUAAGGGAAUAAAGUGAGUCUCGUGAGACUUUUUGCAUGUACCUUAUGAAUAAGGACCGGCUAAUUCCGUGCCAGCAGCCGCGGUAAUACGGAAGGUCCGGGCGUUAUCCGGAUUUAUUGGGUUUAAAGGGAGCGUAGGCCGGAGAUUAAGCGUGUUGUGAAAUGUAGAUGCUCAACAUCUGCACUGCAGCGCGAACUGGUUUCCUUGAGUACGCACAAAGUGGGCGGAAUUCGUGGUGUAGCGGUGAAAUGCUUAGAUAUCACGAAGAACUCCGAUUGCGAAGGCAGCUCACUGGAGCGCAACUGACGCUGAAGCUCGAAAGUGCGGGUAUCGAACAGGAUUAGAUACCCUGGUAGUCCGCAC
rnacentral:rRNA from 1 species